rnacentral:rRNA from 1 species
GUGGGUAGUUUGACUGGGGCGGUCUCCUCCCAAAGAGUAACGGAGGAGCACGAAGGUUAGCUAAUCCUGGUCGGACAUCAGGAGGUUAGUGCAAUGGCAUAAGCUAGCUUGACUGCGAGCGUGACGGCGCGAGCAGGUGCGAAAGCAGGUCAUAGUGAUCCGGUGGUUCUGAAUGGAAGGGCCAUCGCUCAACGGAUAAAAGGUACUCCGGGGAUAACAGGCUGAUACCGCCCAAGAGUUCAUAUCGACGGCGGUGUUUGGCACCUCGAUGUCGGCUCAUCACAUCCUGGGGCUGAAGUAGGUCCCAAGGGUAUGGCUGUUCGCCAUUUAAAGUGGUACGCGAGCUGGGUUUAGAACGUCGUGAGACAGUUCGGUCCCUAUCUGCCGUGGGCGCUGGAGAAUUGAGGGGGGCUGCUCCUAGUACGAGAGGACCGGAGUGGACGCAUCACUGGUGUUCGGGUUGUCAUGCCAAUGGCAUUGCCCGGUAGCUAAAUGCGGAAGAGAUAAGUGCUGAAAGCAUCUAAGCACGAAACUUGCCCCGAGAUGAGUUCUCCCUGAGGCUUUAAGUCUCCUGAAGGAACGUUAAAGACGAUGACGUUGAUAGGUCGGGUGUGUAAGCGUAGCGAUACGUUGAGCUAACCGAUACUAAUGAACCGUGAGGCUUAACCUU